UACAGAGGUCUCAAGCGUUGUUCGGAUUCAUUGGGCGUAAAGGGUGCGUAGGCGGCGCGGUAAGUCGGGUGUGAAAUCUCGGAGCUUAACUCCGAAACUGCAUUCGAUACUGCCGUGCUUGAGGACUGGAGAGGAGACUGGAAUUUACGGUGUAGCGGUGAAAUGCGUAGAUAUCGUAAGGAAGACCAGUGGCGAAGGCGAGUUGCUGGACAGAUACUGACGCUGAGGCACGAAGGCCAGGGGAGCAAACGGG
rnacentral:rRNA from 1 species